GAUGAACGCUGGCGGCGUGCCUAAUACAUGCAAGUCGAGCGAACAGACGAGGAGCUUGCUCCUUUGACGUUAGCGGCGGACGGGUGAGUAACACGUAGGUAACCUACCUAUAAGACUGGGAUAACUUCGGGAAACCGGAGCUAAUACCGGAUAAUAUUUCGAACCGCAUGGUUCGAUAGUGAAAGAUGGCUUUGCUAUCACUUAUAGAUGGACCUGCGCCGUAUUAGCUAGUUGGUAAGGUAACGGCUUACCAAGGCAACGAUACGUAGCCGACCUGAGAGGGUGAUCGGCCACACUGGAACUGAGACACGUUCCAGACUCCUACGGGAGGCAGCAGUAGGGAAUCUUCCGCAAUGGGCGAAAGCCUGACGGAGCAACGCCGCGUGAGUGAUGAAGGUCUUCGGAUCGUAAAACUCUGUUAUUAGGGAAGAACAAACGUGUAAGUAACUGUGCACGUCUUGACGGUACCUAAUCAGAAAGCCACGGCUAACUACGUG
rnacentral:rRNA from 1 species